AGUGAACGCUGGCGGCGUGCCUAAUACAUGCAAGUCGAACGGAGUGGCGCACGGGUGAGUAAUAUAUAGCUAACCUGCCCCUUGCUGGAGGUCAACAGUUGGAAAUGUCUCCUAAUACUCCAUAGCAUGGGAUGGGCCGAUAUCGUAUCAGCUAGUCGGUGGGGUAACGGCCUACCGAGGCUAUGACGCGUAACUGGUCUGAGAGGAUGAGCAGUCAAAUUGGAACUGAGACACGGGCCAGACUCAUACGGCAGUGAGCAGUAGGGAAUAGUGCGCAAUGGGGGAAACUCUGGCGCAGCAACGGGGCGUGGAGGAUGACAAUUGACGGAGCGUAAACUACUUUUGUUAGGGAAGCGGUACCUGACGAAGAAGCACCGGCUAACUCCGUGCCAGCAGCCGCGGUAAUAC
rnacentral:rRNA from 1 species